rnacentral:tRNA from 1 species
GGGGGCUUAGCUCAGUUGGGAGAGCGCUUGAAUGGCAUUCAAGAGGUCGUCGGUUCAAGUCCGAUAGUCUCCACCA